rnacentral:rRNA from 1 species
ACGGCUCAGUAACACGUGGUUAACUGCCCUUGGGACGGAAACACCCCCGGGAAACUGGGGCUAAUUUCCGAUAGGUGAAGGCUCCUGGAAUGGAUCUUCGCCUAAAGGGUGCUUAGACCAUGCUUCUAGGCGCCGCCCAAGGAUGGGACCGCGACCGAUCAGGUUGUUGGUGAGGUAACGGCUCACCAAGCCUUUUACCGGUACGGGCCGUGGGAGCGGGAGCCCGGAGAUGGGCACUGAGACAAGGGCCCAGGUCCUACGGGGCGCAGCAGUUACGAAAAUUUCGCAAUACGCGAAGGCGUGACGGAGCCAUCCCGAGUGCCGUCCGCUGAGGAUAGCUUUUCCCCAGUAUAGAUAGCUGGGGGAAUAAGGAGAGGGCAAGUCUGGUGUCAGCCGCCGCGGUAAUACCAGCUCUCCGAGUGGUAGGGAUGUUUAUUGGGCCUAAAGCAUCCGUAGCCAGCUGAGCAAGUCCCCAGUUAAAUCCAGCGAUUUAAUCGUUGGACUGCUGAGGAUACUGUCCGGCUAGGGGGUGGGAGAGGCCGACGGUAUUCCUGGGGUAGGGGUGAAAUCCUAUAAUCCCGGGAGGACCACCAGUGGCGAAGGCUGUCGGCUAGAACAUGCCCGACGGUGAGGGAUGAAAGCUGGGGGAGCGAACCGGAUUAGAUACCCGGGUAGUCCCAGCUGUAAACGAUGCAGGCUAGGUGUUAGGGCGGCCACGUGCCGCUCUAGUGCCGCAGGGAAGCUGUUAAGCCUGCCGCCUGGGGAGUACGGCCGCAAGGCUGAAACUUAAAGGAAUUGGCGGGGGAGCAC